rnacentral:rRNA from 1 species
AGUGAACGCUGGCGGCAGGCCUAACACAUGCAAGUCGAGCGGCAGCGCGGGGGCAACCCUGGCGGCGAGCGGCGGACGGGUGAGGAAUUCGUCGGAAUCUGCCUUUUUGUGGGGGAUAACGUAGGGAAACUUACGCUAAUACCGCAUACGUCCUACGGGAGAAAGUGGGGGACCGCAAGGCCUCACGCAGAAAGAUGAGCCGACGACCGAUUAGCUAGUUGGUGGGGUAAAGGCCCACCAAGGCGACGAUCGGUAGCUGGUCUGAGAGGAUGAUCAGCCACCCUGGGACUGAGACACGGCCCAGACUCCUACGGGAGGCAGCAGUGGGGAAUAUUGGACAAUGGGCGCAAGCCUGAUCCAGCCAUGCCGCGUGUGUGAAGAAGGCCUUCGGGUUGUAAAGCACUUUUGUCCGGAAAGAAAUCCCUGGAGCUAAUACCUUCGGGGGAUGACGGUACCGGAAGAAUAAGCACCGGCUAACCUCGUG